UACGGAGGGAGCUAGCGUUAUUCGGAAUUACUGGGCGUAAAGCGCACGUAGGCGGCUUUGUAAGUAAGAGGUGAAAGCCCAGAGCUCAACUCUGGAAUUGCCUUUUAGACUGCAUCGCUUGAAUCAUGGAGAGGUCAGUGGAAUUCCGAGUGUAGAGGUGAAAUUCGUAGAUAUUCGGAAGAACACCGAGUGGCGAAGGGCGGCUGACUGGACAUGUAUUGACGCUGAGGUGCGAAAGCGUGGGGAGCAAACAGG
rnacentral:rRNA from 1 species